GGUUUAGUGGUCUAGUGGUAUGAUUGUCGCUUCGGGUCCUCUUUGCCCAAGAGCAAAGCUCUAAAAUGUGACAGGUCCCGUGUUCAAUCCACGGCUAAACCC